CCCUCACCUGUAGUGUUAUAAACGGAAGAUUUUAGUGACAGUAUGUUGAGGAGGAAAAAGUUGUAAGCGUUUAUAUAAGGCAGGCAUUCUAUUUUUUUUUAAUGUUCUAUAUUUGCAUUUACAAAAGAUGUCUUGUGGCAGAUCAAAUUUUAUUGCUUAAACAUUGUCAAACUGAUUUUUCACGAAAAUAGACUAAGACACUUUUUAAUCUUAAACUAGAUAUGUUCACAUCUUAAAUUGAAUCAAAACAAUAAGUCCCGCUGUCAAGUGAAGUAUUGCUUAAUCAUUUACUUAAAACGAAUAGUUUUCGUUAAUUGGAUAUAUAGAUUGAAAACUAACACAAAAGAAAAAAAAAACAUUAUUGAUUGCUUUUCUUGUCUACAGUACAUUCACACUUACGAGCCAACAAGGGUAUUACAUAUGAUUCUUCUGGAGAAGUAAAAACAGAUAUCAUUAAAUCAAGCCAACCCAAGAGACUCAAUGUGGGCUAUGUAAACUGUACGAAUGUUACAGAUUCAAGUGACACACAUCGUAGAGAGAAUAACAACCCUCCACAAAGUGGUUGCAGGAGUCCUGCUAAGUUUAAGAUAUAAUUAAUGAAAGCAACAACACUUUUUUUCACUUAUAUAAUGGAAACCCAGAAAACGUUUACUUCAAUAAAGAUAUCAUCAAAGCAUCAUCAAACGCAGUGUCAAAAACAUCAAACUUCUACUUGUUUACUUAAUUAAAGACUUGAGAAUUGU
rnacentral:sRNA from 1 species